CAGCAGCCGCGGUAAUACGUAGGUGGCAAGCGUUGUCCGGAAUUAUUGGGCGUAAAGGGCUCGCAGGCGGUUUCUUAAGUCUGAUGUGAAAGCCCCCGGCUCAACCGGGGAGGGUCAUUGGAAACUGGGAAACUUGAGUGCAGAAGAGGAGAGUGGAAUUCCACGUGUAGCGGUGAAAUGCGUAGUGAUGUGGAGGAACACCAGUGGCGAAGGCGACUCUCUGGUCUGUAACUGACGCUGAGGAGCGAAAGCGUGGGGAGCGAACAGGAUUAGAUACCCCAGUAGUCCCUGUCUCUUAUAC
rnacentral:rRNA from 1 species